rnacentral:tRNA from 1 species
GAAGACAAAAGACUAUUCUUGUCCCGCUAAGUCAAAGAAUCUGCAGUUAAACUCUGUAGUGUCUUCG